rnacentral:rRNA from 1 species
AGAGUUUGAUCCUGGCUCAGAUUGAACGCUGGCGGCAUGCCUUACACAUGCAAGUCGAACGGCAGCACGGACUUCGGUCUGGUGGCGAGUGGCGAACGGGUGAGUAAUACAUCGGAACGUGCCCUGUUGUGGGGGAUAACUAGUCGAAAGAUUAGCUAAUACCGCAUACGACCUGAGGGUGAAAGCGGGGGACCGUAAGGCCUCGCGCAAUAGGAGCGGCCGAUGUCUGAUUAGCUAGUUGGUGGGGUAAAGGCCUACCAAGGCGACGAUCAGUAGCUGGUCUGAGAGGACGAUCAGCCACACUGGGACUGAGACACGGCCCAGACUCCUACGGGAGGCAGCAGUGGGGAAUUUUGGACAAUGGGGGCAACCCUGAUCCAGCAAUGCCGCGUGUGUGAAGAAGGCCUUCGGGUUGUAAAGCACUUUUGUCCGGAAAGAAAUGGCGCUGGUUAAUACCCGGCGUUGAUGACGGUACCGGAAGAAUAAGCACCGGCUAACUACGUGCCAGCAGCCGCGGUAAUACGUAGGGUGCGAGCGUUAAUCGGAAUUACUGGGCGUAAAGCGUGCGCAGGCGGUUUUGUAAGACAGGCGUGAAAUCCCCGGGCUCAACCUGGGAAUGGCGCUCGUGACUGCAAGGCUAGAGUGCGUCAGAGGGGGGUAGAAUUCCACGUGUAGCAGUGAAAUGCGUAGAGAUGUGGAG